AUCAGCUCAGUAGACUGAAAACUGAAGUUUAUAGUUGUCCAUUAUAUUAUAAAGCAAAUUCAUACAUCUAAUUUACACAGCUUAGAAAGGCAUUGUAGCAAACCGUGAUGUUAUGAAUACAAAUAGCCCUAGCAGUAGCAUGUGAUUAGGAUAACUUGUUUAGCAUCAAGUAGAAAGUUAUUCAGAAUGGGCUUUAAUGUGGUAAAUGUUUCCUGUAGUGGCUUCCAACUACCAGUACCAGAUCAGUCUGCAGUCCAGCUCUGUUCCACAAUUUCCCUUACUCUACGAUUGUACUCACGCUUGUUCUCACUAAACAUCCGAGCAGCUUCUGAGUUCGCAGGAGAAUUGGGGUUGGGGUCGCAUAGCAGUGAGUGCAAUAUAAAAUUAUCAUAAACAGCAGGUAAAUAUUUUGCAUCAUGAAAAGAUUUGGAUUAUUUUAUGGGUUGCACUAUGUAAAUUAAAAUCUUUACAGGACUCGUCUUACUUCACGUCCAUGGCGCUUAUAUACUCAAGGAAAAAAUUUCACUACCCCUGGAAAUCCUAAAGAUGUAUGUGAAAAAGGUUGUUAUCACAUUUAUGAACAUCUAAAUUCUGAAAUCCUAAGAUGUAUGCGAAAAAGGUAUAUCACUAUUGAAUGCUAAAUGUCUUGCUCUUAUUAACUUGUUUUUAUACUAUUUUUUCUUUUUUUUAAAAAAAACAAAAACAAAAACUCCCUACCAGAGAAAAAAGGGGCAGAAAAGAGAGUUCAUUGGUUUACCACCGAUGUAGGAUCAUGGCGAUGCCACAUCGACUACAUGUUGCCCCACCAAAAAAGAAAUAUCUUCUUUCCCUUAUCCCUUAUCCCUUGUACUGUAUUUUUAUUUAAGUUCUGUUAAGUCAAACAACCUGUGGACAGAGGUAGCAACAUUUAGGGGUAAGGUAUUAAACAUUUGGACUAGACAUAAUUAGAAAUUUUCACAUAAAUGGCACCUUGAAGACUUGUAACUCAAUUGAAUAUAGGAGAGAUAGAACAUUUGUUUAGUUCAGCGAAUCUGAUAAUGGCUUAAUAGUAGGUCCGAUGGUCUUUCAUUAGCUAUAAAACUGUAUUCCAUUCUCUUUGUUUGAUAAGUCUAAAAGCAAUGAUGCAAACAAAAAUGAAAACAUGUUGAAAUUUAAGAAUAAUGUCAGACCUGGCACUUUUGAAUCUUAAUUUGCUUCCAUCAUUGAAAACUAGAACAAAAGUGAUCUAGAAUUUGCACAUACGCAUGAAGUACACAACAAUAGUCCUGCAAUCUCAAUUAAUUUAUAUAAGAUACUUGAUAGUUACUACCCAAGCACUCAAAAAUUUACUAGAGAAAGGAUAAUUUUUUCUUACCUACAAGACUACAAGUGGCCUUAGUUCAUUAAUUUUGCAUUAGUAACUAGAUAAAAUUACAGAAAACACUACAUUUAAC
rnacentral:lncRNA from 1 species